rnacentral:rRNA from 1 species
UACGGAGGGUGCAAGCGUUAUCCGGAUUCACUGGGUUUAAAGGGUGCGUAGGAGGACAGGUAAGUCAGUGGUGAAAUCUCCGAGCUUAACCCGGAAACUGCCAUUGAUACUAUUAGUCUUGAAUACCGUGGAGGUCAGCGGAAUAUGUCAUGUAGCGGUGAAAUGCUUAGAUAUGACAUAGAACACCAAUUGCGAAGGCAGCUGGCUACACGAAUAUUGACACUCAGGCACGAAAGCGUGGGGAUCAAACAGG